GGAUGUGUGCACCAUCUGGUUGGGACAUCUGUCACUGUGCUGAUCUGCAGGGCUGAUUCAACUAAUCUGGCUGGUUAGGUGGCUGUCCCCAUUCUCCCUCACUACUCCACACAGCUUCCUCCCAAAGUGGUGUGGCAAUUUGACCAAGAAGGCCACUCCCUGGUCAAGGACACCUAUCAGCUACACACAGAGAAACUUCUCUGGCUUGUUUUGUUGAAAAACUAAUAGUGGACAAAAACAAAUAAUCUUUUAGUUUUUGAAGGAGGGAAUUGAAGUGACAACUUUUUGUUCUUC
ensembl:misc_RNA 7SK 7SK RNA